AUUAAAGUUGUUGCGGUUAAAAAGCUCGUAGUCGAAUUUGUGUUCCGCGCCGCCGGUUCAUCGUACGCGGUGUUAACUGGCGUGUCGCGGAACGUCCUGCCGGUGGGCCUAAGUCCGCAAGGACGUCGGCCCGACCCAAUCCCGCCGCGGUGCUCUUCACUGAGUGUCGAGGUGGGCCGGCACGUUUACUUUGAACAAAUUAGAGUGCUUAAAGCAGGCUAAAACUUCGCCUGAAUACUGUGUGCAUGGAAUAAUGGAAUAGGACCUCGGUUCUAUUUUGUUGGUUUUCGGAACCCCGAGGUAAUGAUUAAUAGGAACGGAUGGGGGCAUUCGUAUUGCGACGUUAGAGGUGAAAUUCUUGGAUCGUCGCAAGACGGACAGAAGCGAAAGCAUU
rnacentral:rRNA from 1 species